AGCAGCCGCGGUAAUUCCAGCUCUCAAAAUGCAUAGAACCAUUGCUGCGGUUAAAAAGCUCGUAGUUGGAUCUGUGCCGGCGUCGUGGUCCUCCUUAACAGGUGGUACUGCGCGCGUCGGCUUUGGGCCGGUCUUCGUCCGGGGGCCUUAACUGGUCCGUCGGUCGUGGCUGGCUGGUUUACUUUGAGCAAAUCAGAGUGCUCAGCACAGGCGUUUCGCCGGAAUGUUCGUGCAUGGAAUAAUAGAACAGGAUCACGGUCCUCUUUUAUUGGUUUUGUGGACUGAGAUAAUGGUUAACAGAGACGAACGGGGGCAUUCGUAUUGCUGCGUGAGAGGUGAAAUUCUUGGACCGCAGCAGGACGGACUACAGCGAAAGCAUUUGCCAAGCGCGUCUUCAUUAAUCAAGAACGAAAGUCAGAGGUUCGAAGGCGAUCAGAUACCGCCCUAGUUCUGACCGUAAACGAUGCCAACUAGCGAUCCGCCGGUGGCUACCAGGCCCUGGUGGGGAGCUUCCCGGAAACGAAAGUCUUCCGGUUCCGGGGGAAGUAUGGUUGCAAAGCUGAAACUUAAAGGAAUUGACGGAAGGGCACCACCAGGAGUGGAGCCUGCGGCUUAAUUUGACUCAACACGGGAAAACUCACCCGGCCCGGACACCGUAAGGAUUGACAGAUUGAUAGCUUUUUCAUGAUUCGGUGGUUGGUGGUGCAUGGCCGUUCUUAGUUCGUGGAUCGAUUUGUCUGGUUUAUUCCGAUAACGAGCGAGACUCCAGCCUACUAACUAGUACGAGCAUUGCCUCUGUGCUCGGCACUUCUUAGAGGGAUUGACUGCGUCUAGCGGUACGAAACGGAGCAAUAACAGGUCUGUGAUGCCCUUAGAUGUCCGGGGCUGCACGCGCGCUACACUGGCAAAGGCAACGUGCUUGUCCGUCUCCGAAAGGAGCCGGUAAACCCUUGAAAAUUUGCCGUGAUUGGGAUCGGAAAUUGCAAUUAUUUUCCGUGAACGAGGAAUUCCUAGUAAGUGCGAGUCAUCAGCUCGCGUUGAUUACGUCCCUGCCCUUUGUACACACCGCCCGUCGCUGCCUAGAACUGAGCCAUUUCGAGAAUAUUCGGGAUCGUUGGUUGCGUGUCUUUCGGGACAUGCCUCCGGCCAGAGAACGAACGUAAUCGCAAUGGCUUGAACCGGGCA
rnacentral:rRNA from 1 species